AGAGUUUGAUUAUGGCUCAGGAUGAACGCUGGCGGCGUGCUUAACACAUGCAAGUCGAACGAAGCGGUUUAGCGGAAGUUUUCGGAUGGAAGUUAAACUGACUGAGUGGCGGACGGGUGAGUAACGCGUGGGUAACCUGCCUCACACAGGGGGACAACAGUUAGAAAUGGCUGCUAAUACCGCAUAAGCGCACAGCUUCGCAUGAAGCGGUGUGAAAAACUCCGGUGGUGUGAGAUGGACCCGCGUCUGAUUAGCUAGUUGGUGAGGUAACGGCUCACCAAGGCGACGAUCAGUAGCCGACCUGAGAGGGUGACCGGCCACAUUGGGACUGAGACACGGCCCAA
rnacentral:rRNA from 1 species